AAGCAAAAAUUAAUAGCCCAGGAGAAAAAAAUAGGUGGUCAUUUCGAUUUAGGUCACAGAGGGGCUAAUAGAUAUUUUAUUAUUUCAUAUUCAAAUGGCAAGGUGGGUAUUAAAUGUCACUAUAGAUCUAGAUUAGCUCACGCCUCAAAUACUGAUAAUAAAAAAAUAAAUCAUAUUCCUCCAUCAACACUUAGAAUAAAUUGUUUUGAAUUUGCUGAGGCGUUAACACAAGAGGCUCUUGUUAAUGAGAGAAAGAAAGACAAGAAAAUUAGGACACAGAUUUCGAGCGAGGCAGAUCAUCAAAUUGCAACAGAAAACAGGUAUCAGGAUAUUAACGAUGGUUAUUUAAGUGAUGAACCACAAGUGCGGGAAAUUAGAAAUGAUGAGGCAGAGCAAAUAAAUGCAAUAUAUUUAAAAAAGAGGAAUAUAGCAGAUAGACUGUUAGAUGAUUAUUUAAAUAGAAAAGAAACCCAGAUUUCGAACGAUGAGAUAAAGGUUAAAAACAUUGAUGAGUUCCAAUCAAUACUUAAUGAUGAAAUUUCAUAGGUAAAAAGUUAUUUCUCUUCCAGAAUAUAAAAUUUAGUGAAGGUUAUGACUGGGAGAAAAACAAGAUUCAAAAUGAUACAACUAAUAAAAAAGAUAGGGGAAAUGAUAUGAAUGAAAAAGAUAAGGCUUUGGAAAAUAAUCUAAUCAGUGAAGAAGGGAUUUUUUAUGUAGACGCAGAUGAAGAAGAAGAAGCAGGACGGCUAUAUGAAAAUGAACUUAUUUAUAUGGAAGGCGGGGUUGAAAAUUAUAAACAAAUCUUACCUUUAAAUAUAGACCAAGAAGAUGAAAACCCCCUCCCCCCUCCAUUUGUUGAUGAUACAAACCAAAACGAAAAUGAUGUAAUUUUAAUGGAGGGAGGAUUAACUAAUUACACCCAA